GUCAGCAGGCGUUGGCUGCAAAGGAACAGCUCCAGCGAUCAUUUCCAUACAGUCACCAGUAACAGGAGGAAGACACGAGGAAGGAGGUCUGCAGUUUUCUGCUCCAGUUGUGGGGACCAGUGUGAGGCGAUUGUGAUUGUCCCUUCUGUCUUCAGCUCAGAGACGUGCUCUCCCGGGACGCAGACAGCACAGGCACAGACAGGAGCAGACACCCCAGGAACAGCCCUACCGUUCAGCCAGCAGACGCCCAGCAGCAGAAGAGCGUGGAGCCUCAUGUCUGAGUCCCGUCGUCUCUGCAGCAGGGACUCGCUCGUGCAGUGAAGUGUCUCGAGAGACAACCAGGUUUCUCUUUAAGAUGGCGAAAGGGAAAUGGGUGGUCGUAAGAGACUAUUUCACUCAGAUGUUAACCAAGCAGGAACCAGACACAUGCAAAUGAACCCGUCUCCAGGGCCUGGAUGGUAUUCUACCGAUUCUAUCUGAAGAAACGAGAUGCUGUUCAUGGGCCGCUGGCUCAACUCUUGUAGCAGUCUCUCCAGACAGGGGCCAGAGGCAGGGAUAGAGAAAAGCUCAUGUAGUCCCCAUCCGUCCAAGAAAGGUGAGAAAACAGAGCCGAGUAAUUCAAGACCAGCAGGUCUGUACGUCUGAUGCAUGCGAGGUUAUUGAAACAGUUAAAAUGAGAGGAUCAUCUGUACUGCGAUAGGAGAGACUGUUAUGACUUUAAAAGAUCAACAGGAAUUUAGAAAAGGUAGAUCUUGCUUAUCUUGUUAGAGUGCUUUGAACAAGCUGCAACAGCAGUGAAAACACAGUGACAACGUGAUCUGUUCGAUUUGCACAAGGACCACAACCGUCAUUUAUAUCACCGAUCUAGAUCCAGGUACUGUACAGUUACUAAACUAGUCUUCAGGUGUGAGCACCUGAAGAAGGCUCCACGGC